GAUGAACGCUAGCGGCAGGCCUAAUACAUGCAAGUCGAACGGUCCACUUCGGAGGAUAGUGGCGCACGGGUGCGUAACACGUAUGCAACCUACCUUACAUUGGGGGAUAGCCUUUCGAAAGGGAGAUUAAUACCGCAUAAGACAGUAACAUGGCAUCAUGUAGCUGUUAAAGAUUUAUCGAUGUAAGCUGGGCAUGCGUCCAAUUAGUUAGUUGGUGAGGUAAUGGCUCACCAAGACGAUGAUUGGUAGGGGAACUGAGAGGUCAAUCCCCCACACUGGCACUGAGAUACGGGCCAGACUCCUACGGGAGGCAGCAGUAGGGAAUAUUGGGCAAUGGACGCAAGUCUGACCCAGCCAUGCCGCGUGCAGGAAGAAGGCGUUCUGCGUUGUAAACUGCUUUUAUAUAGGAAGAAACGACCCUUGCGAGGGGCAUUGACGGUAUUAUAUGAAUAAGCACCGGCUAACUCCGUGCCAGCCGCCGCCGUAAAAC
rnacentral:rRNA from 1 species